rnacentral:rRNA from 1 species
UACGAAGGGGGCUAGCGUUGCUCGGAAUCACUGGGCGUAAAGGGUGCGUAGGCGGGUUUUUAAGUCAGAGGUGAAAUCCUGGAGCUCAACUCCAGAACUGCCUUUGAUACUGAGAAUCUUGAGUACGGGAGAGGUGAGUGGAACUGCGAGUGUAGAGGUGAAAUUCGUAGAUAUUCGCAAGAACACCAGUGGCGAAGGCGGCCCACUGGCCCGUAACUGACGCUGAGGCACGAAAGCGUGGGGAGCAAACAGGG